rnacentral:rRNA from 1 species
UACGGGGGGGGCAAGCAUUGUUCGGAAUUACUGGGCGUAAAGGGCUCGUAGGCGGCCAACUAAGUCGGACGUGAAAUCCCUCGGCUUAACCGGGGAACUGCGUCCGAUACUGGAUGGCUUGAGUUCGGGAGAGGGAUGCGGAAUUCCAGGUGUAGCGGUGAAAUGCGUAGAUAUCUGGAGGAACACCGGUGGCGAAGGCGGCAUCCUGGACCGACACUGACGCUGAGGAGCGAAAGCCAGGGGAGCAAACGGG